CAGCCGCCACGGGAAAACGAAGGGUGCAAGCGUUAAUCGGAAUUACUGGGCGUAAAGCGCGCGUAGGUGGUUUGUUAAGUUGGAUGUGAAAUCCCCGGGCUCAACCUGGGAACUGCAUCCAAAACUGGCAGGCUAGAGUAGGGCAGAGGGUGGUGGAAUUUCCUGUGUAGCGGUGAAAUGCGUAGAUAUAGGAAGGAACACCAGUGGCGAAGGCGACCACCUGAGCUCAUACUGACACUGAGGUGCGAAAGCGUGGGGAGCAAACAGGAUUAGAUACCCCGGUAGUCCCUGUCUCUUAUAC
rnacentral:rRNA from 1 species